rnacentral:rRNA from 1 species
UACGAAGGGGGGCUAGCGUUGCUCGGAAUCACUGGGCGUAAAGGGUGCGUAGGCGGGUCUUUUAAGUCAGGGGUGAAAUCCUGGAGCUCAACUCCAGAACUGCCUUUGAUACUGAAGAUCUUGAGUUCGGGAGAGGUGAGUGGAACUGCGAGUGUAGAGGUGAAAUUCGUAGAUAUUCGCAAGAACACCAGUGGCGAAGGCGGCUCACUGGCCCGAUACUGACGCUGAGGCACGAAAGCGUGGGGAGCGAACAGG